AGAGUUUGAUCAUGGCUCAGGACGAACGCUGGCGGCGUGCCUAAUACAUGCAAGUCGUGCGGGGUCUUGAAGGGCUUGCCCUUUAAGACCCAGCGGCGAACGGGUGAGUAACACGUGGGUAACCUGCCCGCAAGACCGGGAUAACUCCGGGAAACCGGGGCUAAUACCGGAUAGGACCCCGGAUCGCAUGAUCCGGGGUGGAAAGGCGGCGUCAAGCUGCCACUUGCGGAUGGGCCCGCGGCGCAUUAGCUGGUUGGUGAGGUAACGGCUCACCAAGGCGACGAUGCGUAGCCGACCUGAGAGGGUGAUCGGCCACACUGGGACUGAGACACGGCCCAGACUCCUACGGGAGGCAGCAGUAGGGAAUUUUGGGCAAUGGGCGAAAGCCUGACCCAGCAACGCCGCGUGAAGGAUGAAAUCCUUCGGGAUGUAAACUUCGCAAGAACGGGAAGAAUAAGUAAGGGUUAAUAUCUCUUAUGAUGACGGUACUGUUUGUAAGCUCCGGCUAACUCCGUGCUAGCAGCCGCGGGUAAUUC
rnacentral:rRNA from 1 species